UCAAACUUGGUCAUUUAGAGGAAGUAAAAGUCGUAACAAGGUUUCCGUAGGUGAACCUGCGGAAGGAUCAUUACCGAGUAACGGGGCUCUGUGCCUCUGCUCCCACCCCAUGUUGACCUGUACUGUUGCUUUGGCGGGCCGGCGGGUUCACCCGCCGCCGGGCUGAUGCUUGGAGAGCGCCCGCCAGAGGACCAUACGAAACUCUUGUCAAGCUUGAGCGUCUGAGCGAUCGAGAAUCGACUAAAACUUUUAACAACGGAUCUCUUGGUUCUGGCAUCGAUGAAGAACGCAGC
rnacentral:misc_RNA from 1 species